rnacentral:lncRNA from 1 species
GUCAUUGUUGUAGAUUGUCUAGGAUUAACUUUUGUGGAACUCUGUAUAGUAUCAGUUUUUGAAUUCUGAUUUUUCAUCAAAGUUUGUAUAUAUAAUUGAUUCUGCAAUAUAAAUAAACAAAUGUAAAUAUCCGGUAAAAUUACUUCCGGCGUUUGAUUGACAGAAGCAUUGCCCAUGGCUCCGCCUCAUACAUUAAUGUUUUCAAUACUCGCUUGAAAACCAC